CUUCCUCAUCCAUCCCAACGCCAUUUGCAUGCUUCACCAAAAAAUAUCAAUUUUUUUCAUUUUCUUUCCUUAUUUUCUUUUCCUUUCCUUUCUCUUGUUACUUUUUUCUUCUCCUAGUUCUUGGGCACUAAACCUGCAACUUGCAACCCCAAUUUCCAGCACAUCUAAACCCUAGGAGAGAAAAAGAAAAAUCACUCUUCCUUUCCUUUAUUUUCAAUUUCUACUCCACUUUCAACAACACUUAGAUUUUGGCUUCAAAUCUUCAUUUUAAAGCUAAAAGGUUGGGUUGAUCUUUAUACCUUCAAGCACCAAGUGUGGGAGUGCACGUGACGGUGUCAGUAAUGAUGUGGGCGGGAGUGCGUGUGAUGGUAUUGAAAUGUGCAUGCAGGGAGUGCACAUGAUGAUAUUGAAAUGUGCAUGUAGGGAGUGCACAUGAUGAUAUUGCCUUAUACGUGUAGGGAGUGCACAAAAGCUAAUGACCGGUGGUUGCAUCUAAUUUGGCGUUGGCCCUAGCUAUAUCUAGCUGAUGAAGCACCGAUCUGGCCAAUAGAGCCACCACAGCGAAGGACCACAACAGCUGUGGAGGAGGACGGUUGUAAACUUGCUGAGAGAGAGGGGAAGACGGGUGAGAGAGAGAGAGGAAGACCCACAGCUGAGAUAGCGGCUGAAAGAGAGAGGAAGAAGAUUGAUUGAGAGAGGAGGGAAGACGGGGAAAGACCGGUUGAGAGAGGAAAUGAAGAUGGGGGAAGGUCGACCGAGAGAGAAGAGGAAGAUGGUCAAAGACCGGCUGAGAGAGGAGAUGCUUUCUUGGGGAAGGGCGACUGAAAGUGUUGAGGAAGACGAGGGAAGGAGAAAGAGAGAAAAAAAAUUAAGUUUUAUAUGGGACUGAGUCAUGAUUUUCUUAAUCAAUUGAGGGUAUUUUAGUCAAAUGAUAUUUCAAACCUAUUCCCCUGGUCACGAAAUAGAUAAUACCAAGAGGGGACGGGUAUUAGCCAUUCCCACCACAAAGACAAGUUUGAGGAAUUCUUAUUCCUCGCCUUGUUUGACAACCAAAUAAGGGAUGCGGAAUGGCAUGCUAUUCCCCCUACCAAACGCGCUAUAAAUAUUAGCACCCACACCUAGAGUCACUACGCUGACGAUCAGGGUCAUUGUAUGUGUAUAUGUGUACUUAAUGUGAAUUGCUAAGAUUCAUUUGUCAGACUAUUUAUGUAUAUUAUAAUCGAUGAUGCCAUUAUGA
rnacentral:sRNA from 1 species